AGAGCAGGAGUAUUAUCUACAGCCCGUGGAGCCUGGCAGUUCGCACAAUGCUACAGCAAUCUGCCCUGUCGAUUUUUCUUUUGGGGGUGAUCAUAUGUGGGACAGGUUCAGUGUUUUCGUCUUGUUUAGUGAUGGCUCAGUUUACAUCUUAUGUCCUGUUGUUCCAUUUGGAAGUGUGUACAAAUGGGAAUCUGUACUUGAGUUAUAUAGUGAUGCUCAAAUGUUUGGUCUGAAAUCAGCGAAUUCAAAAGCUGUGAAAAACUCAAAUUUGGCAAUCUCUUGGUUGGGAGCAACAUUUCCUGAACUAAAUCGGGAAGAAGUUCAUGCAGAAAAUGCUGCUGUUCUUAGAGCUCAACCUUAUGCUUUAUUUGAUUCUUCAAUCUCA
rnacentral:misc_RNA from 1 species